rnacentral:tRNA from 2 species
GCCGAGAUGGCCGAGUGGUUAAUGGCAGCAGACUGUAAAUCUGCCGGGCUGACGCCCUACGGAGGUUCGAAUCCUUCUCUCGGCACCA